CUAACCAUGUGGCACCGGCUAGUACCACGUUGAGCUUCACAGCAGGAUAUGCCGUACAUUUCUUCCCCUGUAACAAAUCACGAUGAAUACACCAGUUAUACCCUGAUGAUCUCAAGAUACAAUAACACAGAAUGCCAUUCAACUUCAGAAAAUUUUCAUGUCAAAUGCUAAAACUCAACAGGGCCUCACAUUCCACUGGCUCUAAUUUCAUUUCAUCACACUUUAGUACCACCCCAAUCUGUUGAAAAGCCUUAUACAUUUAAACUUGAAUAGCAGAUAAGGGACAUGUGCCUAUCUCAGUGACUUUUUCUGAUACAUUCUACCUUAGUAUUCGAUUGAAAUAUGGAGAAGUUCACAAUCACAGAUGCCAAGAGUUGCAGUUAAAGUAGUCGCCACCACAAGAAGUUCCCCAAGAUCAUUAUGAGCAUUCUCAAAAGACCGAUGAAUUUAUACAGAAGCUCCUAAAACUGCUACCAGAUAACAUGUUAAUCAACAGUUUUGUCCCAUUAUUUAUAUCCAUUAUCCAGAAACUACCUUGAGAACACCAGCAGCAGACAGAAUCUGCUGCCCAUGGCAAAUGGAGGCAACUGGCUUCUUGGCCUCCAUGAAGUCCUUAACUAGAGCAAUCACUUUCCCAUCCAAGGCCAAAUAUUCUGGGGCACGACCUCCAGGGAUGACAAGGGCAUCAUAACUUGAGGCAUCCAAACCCUCAAAGUCAGCUGUAAGAGUAAAAUCAUGGCCAGGUUUCUCGCUGUAAGUCUGGUCACCUUCAAAAUCAUGAAUUGCAGUUGGGCAAGUGUCACCACUCUUCUUCUUGGGGCAGACUGCAUCAACAUGGCACCCUAGAGCUUGAAGAGACUGAAAAGGUACGGUUACCUCAUAAUCUUCCAUGUAGUCCUAUAAUAGCAAGCCAUGGGCAAAAGGUUUUAUCAAACUCCGCUUAAACUGCAUGGCCUUGUGACGUGUUAAGUAGAAACAAGCUCGUAAAAUCAUGGCCAGGUUUCUCGCUGUAAGUCUGGUCACCUUCAUGCACAAGCGCAACUACUCAUGAUGUCUUUUGCUACCUUUCAGAUAAAGCAUAAAUUCAACAAUAUGAGCAAUGUAACUUGUUUUUCCUAUUUAGUCAUUUGUAUUUUUUUUUUUGGUAAAAUUUUCUAUUUAGUCAUUCUUUGAUUGAAAAGUGAAAAUGAUUAGUUGAAUGGCAGAAAAAUAAAAUUAGUUAAAUGAACCAUCCAUUAAGUAUAAGGAUAAGUCCAUGACAGUUUUCACCUGGAAUUGCUUAAGAGUAACCAGCCACUUGGAAGGACUAUUCCUGUGACAACUAAUCCUGACAAUCAUAGACUCACCUAGAACGGAGACAUGUAAUGUUGUUUAAAACAGAAUGGCAGUAAUUGACCAACAAAUUAGAUGGAACCAAACGUAGAUUUAACUGAGUGUCUCAACUGCUAGUUUAAUAUAAACAACUAAUUUAAUGCAAGCUAGCACCAAUUCUUUUCAGGACAUAUUUCUCUUGAAAAAUAUUUUCACCUAUCAUAAUUACCAUACUUCAAUUCCAUAACUUAAAUACUGCUGACUCAUCUGUACCACCAGUUCAGACAAGGACACAAGUAAAUUCAACUAAUUAUCCCAAUUAUGUAAUUAACCUAUAUAAGCUCGAUAAAAUGUGUUACAAUCCAAAAUGACAUCACUUUGGCCAUCCAUAACUCAGUCUCUUGAGAAACUAGAAGCUUUAGUUGACAGCCAAACAAAAUGCACUAGUAAAGGAAAAUAAAAAAUUGAGUAAUUUAUUUGAAAACACUUUCAGACAAUACUCUUGGAGCACAUUCCAAUAUUGAUAUAGAGAGGUUAGGAAGUAUCCAGCACCAUAGCAGAGAACCAGCUCCAAAAAGCUCAAGUAGAAAAAGAUGGAAUACCAGUUAGUUGAGAAGAAGUAGAAAGAGGAACACAAGACAUACAUGCCAUUACCGCCCAAAUGUUCAGUAAAUUCUCAACACAUACCCCACAUAAAAAUAAGAUCCGUUUUUCCGACCCAGUAAUGCUGCCACCCAAAGCCUUCACAAAAGACUGGAUGAACUCAGGAUGUCCAGUGUAUGCAACCCCAGUCACAAGAUUGCCAUCAGUAAUACAGAGCGACAUGUUCUCAGGUUCAACCCAGUGAGCACCUGCAGCAAUCAGUACAGGUCCCACAGGAGCGAAUGCUGUGCACUUGCGACCUUUAACAACAUUUGCAGCAGCCAAUAUCAAUUGGCCAUGACAAAUAGAGGCAAUUGGCUUUCCAGCAUGAGAAAAUUUGCUGACCAAGUCUACAACAGAUUGAUCCAUCGCAAGAUACUCCGGAGCUCGUCCUCCUGGUAUGACUAGGCCAUCAUAGGCAUUGAAUUCAAUUUCAGCGAAUGUGGCAUUUAAUGUAAAAUUGUGCCCCCGAGACUCAGAAUAAGUCUGCACAAGGUAGAAGGUAAAGCUCAAAAAGGAGUAAUUAAUGCCUACAGAUUGAGAAAAGACAAACCAAUGUCUCAGCUAUCUAAGAGCUCAAUGGAGAUUAAAGAUGAUAUAUGUAAGCAACAAAAGAAAUCUAUGAGGCUGAAAGUCUGAUAUGUAAAUUAUCAAAUGUUGUAGCAUGGUGUCUUCUAUAUACACAUGAGAAAAGAAUUACAUGAGUAUUUUGAUAUUGCUAGUAUAGAUAGAUGUUGAAAUUAUUAAAAAGUUCUCAGUAAACUGAGAAGAUAUUUUAAAUGCAUCAUUGAGUUUUUCUUGGGUGUAAGAAAAAUAAAAAUGUCCAUAAUCUCCUUGCAAUCCACAUUACUUCCAAAACAAGCGCCGCAUCUUUUGUAACAAUGAUAUGUCCCCAUACUGAACGCGUUUGUGAAAAUAGACAAUCAUACAACAUCCUUUUGAAUUCCUAGGCUACCACACAGAAUUAGAUACAUUACAGGUUCUCACAGCAAUUGGACAGUAGAUUAUUCCACAUAUAACAGAAGUCCAAGGACUUGGAUUGCUGAAACUAAAGUACAGGUAGUGACUUAACAAAAUACUUGAAGUAGAACGGGCAUCUAGACAAUUUUCCUUGUAAAUGAGCAUUAAUUAUGGACAUUGAGAUGUAUAAAGUCUAUGACAAGAAGACAAGUAUGACUAUGAGAUGUUAACAUAUGCUGCAAGGGCAAAGAGUGUUCUCUUUUUUCUUUUUUAACCCAAAAAUAUGAAGAGGACACUCUUUGAAUGCUUUGAAUUUCAUGUGAGAACAUGAAGAGACUUGUUCUAAAUCAUGCUAUUGAAAGGACUGUCUUCUAGUUCAGUUAGAUCUUUCUAUUUUCUUUUGUACUUCAUCUAAUUUUAAUAUUUAAUGUGAACAUAAUGGGUAGCUUGAAAUUUUUUUCUAUUAAUAACAGUGCUUACUUAUCACGUACUCUUUUUGGACAUUAGUUUAACGACUAUGAUACAAUGACAUACACGCUCUUCAAGUAAUAGCCUUUUUCAACUCGAUGUAGAUCAUGCUCAGCAUUUCUAAUUUAAUUCAUCCCCCUCUGCAAUAUUCACAUUGAUGUAGAACAAUCAUAAAUGCUUUAUGAAUUUCCUUUCUUUCUCAAGAACUUGAGAUGAGAUCACAUGUAGAUGCUCAAACAGCAGAAUCUCACUGUCACCUAGUGUACCUGGGACUCAUCUAGCACAUUCAAUAUGAUGCAGUUGACAAUAACUACCAAGGAGAGAGAAGCGAAGUUUGACAGGGCACAUGAAUUCAACCAAUCAUUCAACAAUAACAGGUCUCAUUCAAGUCUGCUAAUAUCAAGCGGAAAAUCAACAAAACUAGGAGUAAGGUUUUAUUCCCAUCGGGGUUGGCAGUCGUGUCACAUAACGCAGGCAUCACUAAGAAAGUGAAAUAUCAAAACGCCCAUUGUACUUUGUACCAUUUAGAAAAUGAUCAGUGUAUCUAUAUUUUUUUUCAACUCAAUCGGAGGCCAUGUACUUCUCAAAUAGGUGAAAUAGCACUUCUGCAGGUCUUUGUUACUCUAUAGGUGUGUUGCAUUCCCUGUAGUAUCAGACGCUUGUAAGAUAAUCCUUAGUGCUGUUAAAGGAAGCUUAACUUAAAUGCCAACCACUUGUACUAGGAUUUAUUUGUUUCCGUAAGUAGACCCCUUCUCCUAUGAUGAUGCGACUCACACGUUUUAAUGAAGCAAACGAAACCUUAACAGAUGAUUCAGAAAGAGGCACCACACAUACAUGAACAGUAUAGAUGGAUUUACAACUGAAAGAUGUUUAAGAGUAUUAAGUUAUCAAUGAUCCAAAAUGGUGUGCCAAGUUACAUUUUAUCCUUACUCGAGGCAUCCCAUCAUCGUGGUCAAUAACCUAUUUCUAAUCGAACACACGAUGGCCAAAUUCAGAACUCUGCAACAAAUCUUCAAGUUCAACUAGUCCAAACUUCUCAACUACGGUUCACUUACAAAUGCCAUUCUCGAAAAUGGGUGUCCCCAACCAAAUCAAGGAACACUACAGCAAAGCCAGAGAAACUAGAGUCUCUCAUCCAACGCCAUCAGCUGGAGAGAAAGACACGGAUAGACACCGACCAAAAUAAAACGAGAAGAGACGAGAGAAGCUAGAUUAGCGCGACGGGCGGACGGAGAGAGACCUGGUGAGCGCCCAUCUGGUGAACGGCGGUGCGGCAGGCAUCGCCGGCCUUCUUCCCGGGGCAAACGGCAUCCACGGACACUCCGUACGCGAGAAGCGCCUGGAACGGGACCAUCACCUGCAUCCACAGCCAAAAAGAAAAACACCACCGAGCCCAAGAAGACGUCUCAAUCCGAGACCCGACGGAGAAAACAGCGAAGCGAAUCGACGGUGCGAUGAACCACCCCCCCACCCCCCGGGCCCUACCUCGUAGUCUUCCAUGUAGUCUCCGCACAGCAGCAGAACCCUCCUCUGAGGUUUGGAUCCCGCCAUCGUCUCGGACUGGCGGUAGUAGAGAGAGUCGUCGCUCUGUUCCUGGCGAAGCAGCGCCUUAU
rnacentral:lncRNA from 1 species